AUUUUUAGUAGAGACGGGGUUUCACUAUGUUGGCCAGGAUGGUGGUUCAAGUUUUAUGAACAAAGUUGUAAGUUGUUUUUCAGUUGCCAUGGAUUUUCCAGUUAAAGGUCAUGUAACCUGAAUAUGCCCAGAUGAACCAAAUGAGCAACCACAGGUGGAAUGUAAGUGCUUGGACUGAGGAGCUGGGACUGAAUUAAGAAGCAGAUAUCACAUGGCAGGAUUCAGGAUUUAAUCAGAUUGAGACCUGUGCUGUAUCCCAGAGGUUUUGAUAGGUUGUGUCACUAUUAUUGUUCAGUUUGAAAAAGUUUUUAAUUUCCAUCUUGAUUUUAUUGUUGACAGAAAUGUGUCUGAGGAAAGGAAUCCUUUCUUAAUUUUAAUUCAUUCACCAUACAUGAAGAGAAUCAAGACAUAUUCUAGUACUUACAAUGAGUCUCCUCUUAGAGAAAAGCUAAACCCACUUUUCUUUAUAAUAGCUAGUCUUCAGUAACUACGUCUGAGACUUCAACAAAUCUUCCUAGAAACUAAACACCCUUGUUAAGAAAUUGUUGGUGUCAAAACAUAACCACAUCCUGGUUUACAUGAUGAGAAAUGCUGGUGGAUUAGGCCAUCUGAUGAGUUUGGAAAUGCACUGUUUUACGUAAUCCUCAACAGUACACCAAGUUAUGUUUUUACUUAUUCUAUUGCU
rnacentral:lncRNA from 10 species